UUACCAUGCAAGUCGAACGAUGAACUGGAGCUUGCUCCAGGGAUUAGUGGCGAACGGGUGAGUAACACGUGAGUAACCUGCCCUUGACUCUGGGAUAAGCGCUAGAAAUGGCGUCUAAUACCGGAUACGAGCUUCAGCCGCAUGGCUAGGAGUUGGAAAGAAUUUUGGUCAAGGAUGGACUCGCGGCCUAUCAGCUAGUUGGUGAGGUAAUGGCUCACCAAGGCGACGACGGGUAGCCGGCCUGAGAGGGUGACCGGCCACACUGGGACUGAGACACGGCCCAGACUCCUACGGGAGGCAGCAGUGGGGAAUAUUGCACAAUGGGCGAAAGCCUGAUGCAGCAACGCCGCGUGAGGGAUGACGGCCUUCGGGUUGUAAACCUCUUUUAGUAGGGAAGAAGCGAAAGUGACGGUACCUGCAGAAAAAGCACCGGCUAACUACGUGCCAGCCGC
rnacentral:rRNA from 1 species